rnacentral:rRNA from 1 species
CCUACGGGAGGCAGCAGUAGGGAAUAUUGCUCAAUGGGGGAAACCCUGAAGCAGCAACGCCGCGUGGAGGAUGAAGGUUUUCGGAUUGUAAACUCCUUUUGUUAGAGAAGAUAAUGACGGUAUCUAACGAAUAAGCACCGGCUAACUCCGUGCCAGCAGCCGCGGUAAUACGGAGGGUGCAAGCGUUACUCGGAAUCACUGGGCUGAAAGAGCGCGGAGGCGGGAUAGCAAGUCAGAUGUGAAAUCAUAUGGCUUAACCAUAGAACUGCAUUUGAAACUGUUAUUCUAGAGUAUGGGAGAGGUAGGUGGAAUUCUUGGUGUAGGGGUAAAAUCCGUAGAGAUCAAGAGGAAUACUCAGUGCGAAGGCGACCUGCUAGAACAUAACUGACGCUGAUGCGCGAAAGCGUGGGGAGCAAACAGGAUUAGAUACCCGAGUAGUC